UUUAAUGUUAUACAAAUGUCACAUUGCAUGUAAAUAUAUUACCGGUACUUUGAUAACUAACAAGCAAACACAUAUUGCAAGUAUACAAGUACAGUGUAUUUGUUCAGCUUUAUUUUUAUUACAAUAAAAACACAAUAAUCUUAAAGAAACAAACACGAUAACAAUUGAUAUCCACUAACAUAGUUUGAAAAAUAAAAUAAAGUAUGGCUUUCAAGGGGGAAUAACUUAAAAUUAAUAUAAAAAACAAAAUUUAAAGUGACUAUGUUUGACCAUUGGUCAAAGAUUGGAAAGAAUUUGUAGACUACUUCAAGAUAUGUUGCAGAUUAUGAUAAUCAGAUCAAAUCAAAGCAAUAUAUUAAAAAAUUUUCAGUUUUUUUAUUACAGAUGGACACGAUUGAAGGGUCACUUUUUAUUAUCCAAAAAUCAUUUAGCAUCAAGACGGGGCAAAGGCUUAUUUCAACAAGAAUGUGUCCAAAGUACACGGAUGCCCCACUCACACUAUCAUUUUCCAUGUCCAAUGGAGCAUGAAAUUGGAAAAAAAUAUAAUUAGGCAUUAAAAUAGAAAGAUAAUAUCAUAGGGAACAUUGUACUAGUUUCAAGUUGAUUGACUUCAACUUCAUCAAAUACCUUGACCAAAAAUUUAACUGAACAUGCACUUUCAUUUUUAUGUUCGUGCCGUGAAUUGGGGUAAAAGUUUAAUUUGGCUUUAAAUUAGAAAGAUCAUAUCAUAAGGACAUGUGUAUAAGUUCAAGUUGAUUGGACUUCAACUUCAUCAAAAAAUACCUUGACCAAAAACAAAACUUUAACCUGAAACAUGCACUUCCAUUUUCUAUGUUCAGUGGACCGUGAAAUUGGGGUCAAAAGUUCAAUUUGGCUUUAAAAUUAGAAAGAUCAUAUCAUAAGGAACAUUUGUACUAAGUUUCAAGUUGAUUGGACUUCAACUUCAUCAAAAACUACCUUACCAAAAUUUACCUGAAACUGAACGAAUGCACUUUCUUUUCUAUGUUCAGUGACCGUAAUGGUCAAAGUUUAAUUUGGCUUAAAAUUAAGAAAGAUCAUAUCAUAGGGAACUGUGUACAAGUUUGAAGCGAUUGGACUUCAACUUCAUCAAAAACUACCUCGACCAAAAACUUUAACCUGAAGCGGGACAGACGGACGAACGAACGGACGAACGGACGCACAGACCAGAAAACAUAAUGCCCCUAUGUGGGGCAUAAAAAUAAGAAGAGCACUCGUUCUGUGUAAUUUUCUAUUAAUACAAGUAACUUAGUGACACUUAUUCAUAUCUUAAACAAGAAUGUGUCCACAGUACACGAUAUCCCCACUCACACUAUCAUUUUCUAUGUUUAAAGGACUGUGAAAUUGGAAUAAAUUCUCUAAAUUUGGUAUUAAAAUUAGAAUGAUCUUAUCAAAGGGAACAUGUAUACUAAGUUUCAAGUUGAUUGGACUUCUACUUUAUCAAAAACUACCUUGACCAAAAACUUUAACCUGAAAUUUGCACUAUCAUUUUCUAUGUCAGUGAACCGUAAAAUUGGGGUCAAAACUCUAAUUUGGCAUUUAAAUUAGAAAGAUCAUAUCAUAGGGCACAUGUAUACUAAGUUUCAAGUUGAUUGGACUUCAACUUCAUCAAAAAACUACCUUGACCAAAAACUUUAACCUGAAGCCAAAAACUUUAACCUGAAAUUUGCACUAUCAUUUUCUAUGUUCAUUGAACCGUAAAAUUGGGGUCAAAACUCUAAUUUGGCAUUUAAAUUAG
rnacentral:lncRNA from 1 species